AACGAACGCUGGCGGCAGGCUUAACACAUGCAAGUCGAACGCAUCCUUCGGGGUGAGUGGCAGACGGGUGAGUAACGCGUGGGAACGUGCCCUUCAGUUCGGGAUAACCCAGGGAAACUUGGGCUAAUACCGGAUACGUGCGAGAGCAGAAAGAUUUAUCGCUGAAGGAUCGUCCCGCGUCUGAUUGGCUAGUUGGGGGGGUAAUGGCCCACCAAGGCGACGAUCAGUAGCUGGUCUGAGGGGAUGAUCCGCCACAUUGGGACUGAGACACGGCCCAAACUCCUACGGGAGGCAGCAGUGGGGAAUAUUGGACAAUGGGCGCAAGCCUGAUCCAGCCAUGCCGCGUGAGUGAUGAAGGCCUUAGGGUUGUAAAGCUCUUUCGUCCGGGACGAUAAUGACGGUACCGGAAGAAGAAGCCCCGGCUAACUUCGUGCCAGCCGCCGCCGUAA
rnacentral:rRNA from 1 species